AAUAUUGGACAAUGGUGGCAACCCUGAUCCAGCCAUGCCGCGUGUGUGAAGAAGGUCUUCGGAUUGUAAAGCACUUUAAGCUGGGGGGAAGGGCUUUAGGCUAAUACCCUGAAGUUUUGACGUUACCAACAGAAUAAGCACCGGCUAACACUGUGCCAUCAGCCGCGGUAAUAAGGAGGGGGAAAGCGUUAAUCGGAAUUACUGGGCGUAAAGCACGCGUAGGUGGUUCAGUAAGAUGGGUGUGAAAUCCCCGGGCUUAACCUGGGAACUGCUUUCAUAACUGCUGAGCUAGAGUACGGUAGAGGGUAGUGGAAUUUCCUGUGUAGCGGUGAAAUGCGUAGAUAUAGGAAGGAACACCAGUGGCGAAGGCGACUACCUGGACUGAUACUGACACUGAGGUGCGAAAGCGUGGGGAGCAAACA
rnacentral:rRNA from 1 species